UUUCCGGGUUGAUCCUGCCGGACCCUACUGCUAUCGGGGUGGGACUAAGACAUGCGAGUCGAGCGUCUCUAGCUAUGUUGAGACGCGGCAGACGGCUCAGUAACACGUGGCUAACCUACCCUCAGGACAGGGACAAACCCGGGAAACUGGGGCUAAUACCAGAUAGGCGAGGAUGCCUGGAAUGGUUUUUCGCUCAAAGGACCUUGGAAACAUGCUUUCAAGUCGCCUGAGGAUGGGACCGCGUCCGAUCAGGUUGUUGGUGAGGUAACGGCUCACCAAGCCUAUAACCGGUACGGGCCGUGAGAGCGGUAGCCCGGAGAUGGGUACUGAGACAAGGACCCAGGCCCUACGGGGCGCAGCAGUCGCGAAAACUCCGCAAUGCACGAAAGUGUGACGGGGCUACCCCGAGUGCUCUCCGCUGAGGAAAGCUUUUCUCUGGUGUAACAAGCCAGGGGAAUAAGGAGAGGGCAAGACUGGUGUCAGCCGCCGCGGUAAUACCAGCUCUCCGAGUGGUAGGGAUGUUUAUUGGGCUUAAAGCGUCCGUAGCCGGCUUAGCAAGUCUCCUGUUAAAUUCAGCGACCUAAUCGUUGAGCCGCGGGAGAUACUACUAGGCUAGGAGGCGGGAGAGGUCAACGGUACUUCCGGGGUAGGGGUGAAAUCCUAUAAUCCCGGGAGGACCACCAGUGGCGAAGGCUGUUGACUAGAACGCGCUCGACGGUGAGGGACGAAAGCUGGGGGAGCGAACCGGAUUAGAUACCCGGGUAGUCCCAGCUGUAAACGAUGCGAGCUAGGUGUUGGGGUGGCUACGUGCCACUUCAGUGCCGCAGGGAAGCCAUUAAGCUCGCCGCCUGGGGAGUACGGCCGCAAGGCUGAAACUUAAAGGAAUUGGCGGGGGAGCACA
rnacentral:rRNA from 1 species